rnacentral:rRNA from 1 species
UUAAGCGACUAAGCGUACACGGUGGAUGCCCUGGCAGUCAGAGGCGAUGAAGGACGUGCUAAUCUGCGAUAAGCGUCGGUAAGGUGAUAUGAACCGUUAUAACCGGCGAUUUCCGAAUGGGGAAACCCAGUGUGAUUCGUCACACUAUCAUUAACUGAAUCCAUAGGUUAAUGAGGCGAACCGGGGGAACUGAAACAUCUAAGUACCCCGAGGAAAAGAAAUCAACCGAGAUUCCCCCAGUAGCGGCGAGCGAACGGGGAGCAGCCCAGAGCCUGAAUCAGUGUGUGUGUUAGUGGAAGCGUCUGGAAAGGCGCGCGAUACAGGGUGACAGCCCCGUACACAAAAAUGCACAUACUGUGAGCUCGAUGAGUAGGGCGGGACACGUGGUAUCCUGUCUGAAUAUGGGGGGACCAUCCUCCAAGGCUAAAUACUCCUGACUGACCGAUAGUGAACCAGUACCGUGAGGGAAAGGCGAAAAGAACCCCGGCGAGGGGAGUGAAAAAGAACCUGAAACCGUGUACGUACAAGCAGUGGGAGCACGCUUCGGCGUGUGACUGCGUACCUUUUGUAUAAUGGGUCAGCGACUUAUAUUCUGUAGCAAGGUUAACCGAAUAGGGGAGCCGAAGGGAAACCGAGUCUUAACUGGGCGUUAAGUUGCAGGGUAUAGACCCGAAACCCGGUGAUCUAGCCAUGGGCAGGUUGAAGGUUGGGUAACACUAACUGGAGGACCGAACCGACUAAUGUUGAAAAAUUAGCGGAUGACUUGUGGCUGGGGGUGAAAGGCCAAUCAAACCGGGAGAUAGCUGGUUCUCCCCGAAAGCUAUUUAGGUAGCGCCUCGUGAAUUCAUCUCCGGGGGUAGAGCACUGUUUCGGCAAGGGGGUCAUCCCGACUUACCAACCCGAUGCAAACUGCGAAUACCGGAGAAUGUUAUCACGGGAGACACACGGCGGGUGCUAACGUCCGUCGUGAAGAGGGAAACAACCCAGACCGCCAGCUAAGGUCCCAAAGUCAUGGUUAAGUGGGAAACGAUGUGGGAAGGCCCAGACAGCCAGGAUGUUGGCUUAGAAGCAGCCAUCAUUUAAAGAAAGCGUAAUAGCUCACUGGUCGAGUCGGCCUGCGCGGAAGAUGUAACGGGGCUAAACCAUGCACCGAAGCUGCGGCAGCGACACUAUGUGUUGUUGGGUAGGGGAGCGUUCUGUAAGCCUGUGAAGGUGUGCUGUGAGGCAUGCUGGAGGUAUCAGAAGUGCGAAUGCUGACAUAAGUAACGAUAAAGCGGGUGAAAAGCCCGCUCGCCGGAAGACCAAGGGUUCCUGUCCAACGUUAAUCGGGGCAGGGUGAGUCGACCCCUAAGGCGAGGCCGAAAGGCGUAGUCGAUGGGAAACAGGUUAAUAUUCCUGUACUUGGUGUUACUGCGAAGGGGGGACGGAGAAGGCUAUGUUGGCCGGGCGACGGUUGUCCCGGUUUAAGCGUGUAGGCUGGUUUUCCAGGCAAAUCCGGAAAACUAAGGCUGAGGCGUGAUGACGAGGCACUACGGUGCUGAAGCAACAAAUGCCCUGCUUCCAGGAAAAGCCUCUAAGCAUCAGGUAACAUCAAAUCGUACCCCAAACCGACACAGGUGGUCAGGUAGAGAAUACCAAGGCGCUUGAGAGAACUCGGGUGAAGGAACUAGGCAAAAUGGUGCCGUAACUUCGGGAGAAGGCACGCUGAUAUGUAGGUGAAGCGACUUGCUCGUGGAGCUGAAAUCAGUCGAAGAUACCAGCUGGCUGCAACUGUUUAUUAAAAACACAGCACUGUGCAAACACGAAAGUGGACGUAUACGGUGUGACGCCUGCCCGGUGCCGGAAGGUUAAUUGAUGGGGUUAGCGGUAACGCGAAGCUCUUGAUCGAAGCCCCGGUAAACGGCGGCCGUAACUAUAACGGUCCUAAGGUAGCGAAAUUCCUUGUCGGGUAAGUUCCGACCUGCACGAAUGGCGUAAUGAUGGCCAGGCUGUCUCCACCCGAGACUCAGUGAAAUUGAACUCGCUGUGAAGAUGCAGUGUACCCGCGGCAAGACGGAAAGACCCCGUGAACCUUUACUAUAGCUUGACACUGAACAUUGAGCCUUGAUGUGUAGGAUAGGUGGGAGGCUUUGAAGUGUGGACGCCAGUCUGCAUGGAGCCGACCUUGAAAUACCACCCUUUAAUGUUUGAUGUUCUAACGUUGACCCGUGAUCCGGGUUGCGGACAGUGUCUGGUGGGUAGUUUGACUGGGGCGGUCUCCUCCUAAAGAGUAACGGAGGAGCACGAAGGUUGGCUAAUCCUGGUCGGACAUCAGGAGGUUAGUGCAAUGGCAUAAGCCAGCUUGACUGCGAGCGUGACGGCGCGAGCAGGUGCGAAAGCAGGUCAUAGUGAUCCGGUGGUUCUGAAUGGAAGGGCCAUCGCUCAACGGAUAAAAGGUACUCCGGGGAUAACAGGCUGAUACCGCCCAAGAGUUCAUAUCGACGGCGGUGUUUGGCACCUCGAUGUCGGCUCAUCACAUCCUGGGGCUGAAGUAGGUCCCAAGGGUAUGGCUGUUCGCCAUUUAAAGUGGUACGCGAGCUGGGUUUAGAACGUCGUGAGACAGUUCGGUCCCUAUCUGCCGUGGGCGCUGGAGAACUGAGGGGGGCUGCUCCUAGUACGAGAGGACCGGAGUGGACGCAUCACUGGUGUUCGGGUUGUCAUGCCAAUGGCACUGCCCGGUAGCUAAAUGCGGAAGAGAUAAGUGCUGAAAGCAUCUAAGCACGAAACUUGCCCCGAGAUGAGUUCUCCCUGACUCCCUGAGAGUCCUGAAGGAACGUUGAAGACGACGACGUUGAUAGGCCGGGUGUGUAAGCGCAGCGAUGCGUUGAGCUAACCGGUACUAAUGAACCGUGAGGCUUAACCUU